rnacentral:rRNA from 1 species
GACGAACGCUGGCGGCGUGCUUAACACAUGCAAGUCGAGCGGAAAGGCCACUUCGGUGGUACUCGAGCGGCGAACGGGUGAGUAACACGUGAGUAAUCUGCCCCUCACUUUGGGAUAGCCACCGGAAACGGUGAUUAAUACCGGAUAUGACCAUAUGUCGCAUGGCGUGUGGUGGAAAGUUUUUCGGUGAGGGAUGUGCUCGCGGCCUAUCAGCUUGAUGGUGAGGUAAUGGCUCACCAUGGCUUCGACGGGUAGCCGGCCUGAGAGGGUGACCGGUCACACUGGGACUGAGACACGACCCAGACUCCUACGGGAGGCAGCAGUGGGGAAUAUUGGACAAUGGGCGGAAGCCUGAUCCAGCAACGCCGCGUGAGGGAUGACGGCCUUCGGGUUGUAAACCUCUUUCAGUACCGACGAAGCGCAAGUGACGGUAGGUACAGAAGAAGCACCGGCCAACUACGUG